AUGUUUUUGACGUUUCAGAUCAACAUGAAAUCACUGACAGUUAUAGUUCUAGCUUUGACCGCCGUAAUUGGCCUAGUUGUCGCCGACUACGGAUACGGCGGUUAUGGAAGUUACGGCAGUGUCGGCGGUGCCGGAUACACCUAUAUGCCUGCAUACGGCGGUGGUUACGGGACUGGAUCUGGAUUUGGCAAUAACCAAUUGUACAUGUUCAUGUUUGUGUUCUUGUUCCUCAUCCUCCUAUUGAACUCCAACAACGGCAUCAGCAACUUCACCAUCAACGGAUAAUACUUCCGGUCACAUGACAGGACCUAUUGUGUCGUCAACAAUAAUUCUGUUAAAUGUUGGUUCCAGUCAUUUAAUUUCGGAUCAUCAAAGUACCAAACAGUGAAUAACCAGGACUAUACAUGCAUGGAUAAAGUUAAUCAUCAAGUGAUAAUUCAAAUACUAAAGACAAUAUCUAGUUUGUGUAAACCCGUUUCAUAUUCAACCGAUGUUGACUGACCAGAACCUACAUCACCAUAAUUGUUGUUAAUUCUUUCUUAAUAAAAUAUUAUUUAUUCCACUA